ensembl:snoRNA SNORD79 Small nucleolar RNA SNORD79
UACUGUUAAUGAUGAUUUUUUGUUGUAAACAAUGGGAAUCUCUCUGAAAGAAUGAGGAGGACACUUAUGCUGAAACAGUA